rnacentral:rRNA from 1 species
AUACGGAGGAUCCGAGCGUUAUCCGGAUUUAUUGGGUUUAAAGGGUGCGUAGGUGGUUUGAUAAGUCAGCGGUGAAAGUUUGCAGCUUAACUGUAAAAAUGCCGUUGAAACUGUCGGACUUGAGUGUAAAUGAGGUAGGCGGAAUGCGUGGUGUAGCGGUGAAAUGCAUAGAUAUCACGCAGAACUCCGAUUGCGAAGGCAGCUUACUAAGCUACAACUGACACUGAAGCACGAAAGCGUGGGGAUCAAACAGGAUUAGAUACCCUGGUAGUCCACGCAGUAAACGAUGAUUACUAGCUGUUUGCGAUACACAGUAAGCGGCACAGCGAAAGCGUUAAAUAAUCCACCUGGGGAGUACGCCGGCAACGGUGAAACUCAAAGGAAUUGACGGGG